UACGUAGGGGGCAAGCGUUGUCCGGAAUCAUUGGGCGUAAAGCGCGUGUAGGCGGCCCGAUAAGUCCGCUGUGAAAGUCCAGGGCUCAACCCUGGAAUGCCGGUGGAUACUGUCGGGCUCGAGUCCGGAAGAGGCGAGUGGAAUUCCUGGUGUAGCGGUGAAAUGCGCAGAUAUCAGGAGGAACACCGGUGGCGAAGGCGGCAUCCUGGACCGAUACUGACGCUGAGGAGCGAAAGCUAGGGGAGCAAACGGG
rnacentral:rRNA from 1 species